AAGACCAGACCAAAACUGUAACACACAGAGGCGGAGCAGAAGCAACUUAACCUCAACAACGUGAUUGUUCGACACAUCCACCACCACCGCAUCACAUCUCACUCUCACUCAUGGUUCCAAAACCAAACCCUAACUUCGCAUAGCUUAGCUUAGCUUCAAUACAUUCAACACAAUGCGAAUUAGAUCUGAAUAUAGUGUUCUGCUUCUGCUUCUUCUUCUUCUGGGGAUUAUUGCUUCUUCAACCUCCGCUCCAAGCCCCAAAAAUGUCCAAACCUCCCUUCGUGCUAAAUGGUCCGCCACUCCUCUUCUCUUAGAAGCCGGGGAAUUACUAUCUAAACACCAGCCGCACCUUCUCUGGGACUUCAUUGAAAACUGGCUCCAUGAUGCUUCUCACCACGACGAUGCUCAAUCUCACUCUGCUAAGGACUGUGUCAAGAACAUUCUACACCACGCUCGCCCUCUCCUCAGAGAGCCUUUGACAUCUUUGUUUGAGUUCUCUCUCAUUCUCAGAUCAGCUUCCCCUACACUCGUCCUUUACCGCCAGUUGGCCCUUGACUCUCUCUCGUCUUUUCCCGAUGAUGAGAUCGUUGAAGCCAAAAACAGCUCUGGGUUAGACCCUUUGCGUGUUGGUGUUACCCUCAAUAGCCCUCGAUGUAUAUGUUGCUGGCUGGAUACUGGGGACCACUUGUUUUUCCAUGUUUCUGAACUGCUUCAGUGGCUUCAAGCCCCUGAUCAACUGGUGGGUGAUACGUUUCAGAGACCUGAAGUAUUUGAGUUUGAUCAUGUUCAUUUUGAUUCGACCACUGGGAGUCCGGUUGCUGUCCUUUAUGGUGCUCUCGGCACCACUUGCUUUAAGGAGUUUCAUGUUGCUCUUGUUGGAGCUGCCAAACAGGGAAAAGUCAAGUAUGUAUUAAGACCGGUAUUGCCAGCUGGAAUGACAGUACAAUUAAAAAAGUUUUGGAUUGCAGGUGUGACUUUGGAGGAUCCCCGCACUGAAGAUCUUAGCCAAGAAGUUAGAGGAUUCAUAUUCUCUAAAAUUCUGGAACGUAAACCUGAGCUAACAUCCGAGAUCAUGGCUUUCAGGGAUUAUCUGUUGUCAUCAACCAUAUCAGAUACACUUGAUGUUUGGGAACUAAAGGAUCUUGGACAUCAAACUGUGCAGAGAAUAGUCCGUGCCUCUGAUCCUCUGCAAUCAAUGCAGGAUAUUAAUCAAAAUUUUCCUAGCAUAGUGUCUUCUUUGUCUCGCAUGAAGUUAGAUGAUUCUGUUCGAGAUGAAAUAAUGGCAAACCAGCGGAUGAUCCCACCUGGCAAGUCUUUAAUGGCUCUCAAUGGUGCUUUAGUCAAUGUUGAAGAUAUUGACCUUUAUCUGUUGAUUGACAUGGUUCAUCCGGACCUGUUGUUGGCUGAUCAGUUCUCAAAAUUGAAGAUUCCUCAUAGCACUGUGCGAAAACUGCUGUCAACUUUACCUCCAUCAGAGUCCGAUAUGUUUCGUGUUGAUUUUCGUUCUAAUCAUGUUCAUUAUCUCAAUAACUUGGAAGAGGAUGACAAAUACAAACGGUGGAGAAGCAAUCUAAAUGAGAUCUUGAUGCCAGUCUUCCCUGGGCAGCUUCGUCAAAUCCGUAAAAAUCUUUUCCAUGCUGUUUUUGUUCUUGACCCAGCAACCACUUGUGGUCUUGAGUCCAUUGAUAUGAUCAUAUCAUUGUAUGAGAAUAAUGUUCCUGUGAGGUUUGGGAUUGUACUAUAUUCUUCAAAGUACAUCAUGCAGUUAGAGGACCAUUUUGCCAAAGAUGAUGGAGACAAAUUUGAGGAGGACAUAUCUAAUAUGAUCAUACGUCUCUUCAGCUAUAUCAAGGGGAACCAUGGUAUUCAGAUGGCAUUUGAGUUUUUGAGCAAUGUUAAUAAAUUUCGCAUUGAAUCAGAUGAUCAUGCAGACGAUUCUCAUCUUGAACUGCACCAUGUUGAAUCCGCAUUUGUAGAAACAAUAUUACCUAAGGUAAAAUCCCCACCUCAAGAGAUAUUGUUAAAGCUGGAGAAGGAGCCAGAGUUGAAGGAAUUGUCUCAAGAAAGCUCCAAGCUUGUAUUUAAGCUUGGUUUAGCUAAGAUUCAAUGUCCUCUGUUGAUGAAUGGGCUUGUUAUUGAUCCGACUGAGGAGGCUCUACUAAAUGCCUUGAAUGAAGAGACUCAAAGAAUCCAAGAGCAAGUUUAUUAUGGACAAAUAAAACCGCACACUGAUGUAUUGGCCAAGUUCCUAUCAGAAGCUGGUAUUCAACGCUAUAAUCCUCGGAUUAUUUCUGAUAACAAACCAAGAUUCAUAUCUCUUUCGACGUUUAUUUUUGGAGAGGCAUCUAUACUGAAUGAUAUUGACUACUUGCAUUCUCCUGAGACAAUGGAUGAUUUGAAGCCUGUGACACAUCUUCUUGGCGUUGAUAUCACUUCAGCAAGUGGGAUGAAAUUACUUCGCCAAGGCUUAAAUUAUCUGAUGGAAGGGUCCACAGAUGCUCGUGUAGGUCUUCUGUUUAGUGCCAAUCAAAGUUCAGAUUCGUUUACCCUCCUUUUCGUGAAGGUUUUUGAUAUCACUACAUCCACAUAUAGCCAUAAGAAGAAUGUAUUAGACUUCUUGGAUCAGUUAUGCUCCCUCUAUCAGAAGCAAUUCAUCACUACGUCAGCUAUGGAAGUUGAUAACACCCAAGCAUUUAUUGACAAGGUCUGUGAGCUUGCUGAGGCUAAUGGGUUCCCAUCCGAGGACUGUAGAUCUGCCCUCUCAGAAUUUUCUGCUGAUGAAGUGAGAAGUCAAUUGAUGAAGGUGGGAAAGUUUUUGUACAGGGUACUUGGAUCUGAAUCUGGUGUUAAUGCUGUCUUCACGAAUGGAAGGGUAACUUAUCGUAUUCAUGAAAGCACAUUUUUGAGUGCUGAUCUGCAUCUUCUUGAAUCAAUAGAGCUUAAGAAGAGGAUAAAGCAUAUUAUGGAAAUUAUUGAAGAAGUUAAAUGGCAGGAUGUUGACCCUGACAUGCUGACAAGUGCCAUUAUUCUAAACAAUGAAAAUUCUAGCAUUCAUAUUGAUGCGGUUCUGGACCCUUUAAGUCCAACCAGCCAGAAGUUGUCUGGAAUUCUUCGAGUUUUGUGGAAAUAUAUUCAGCCCAGCAUGAGGAUUGUACUGAAUCCAUUGAGUUCCCUUGCUGAUCUUCCUCUGAAGAGCUACUACAGAUAUGUAGUACCGUCAAUGGAUGAUUUUAGCAACACCGACUCUUCAAUAAACGGACCAAAAGCAUUUUUCGCCAACAUGCCAUUGUCUAAGACUCUCACCAUGAAUCUUGAUGUCCCCGAACCUUGGCUUGUUGAGCCCGUUGUUGCUGUCCAUGACCUAGAUAACAUUCUGCUUGAGAACCUUGGCGACACAAGAACAUUGCAAGCGGUUUUUGACUUUGAAGCUCUUGUCCUCACAGGUCAUUGCUCUGAGAAAGAUCAUGAUCCUCCUCGAGGCCUUCAGUUGAUUCUUGGAACCCAAAUUUCACCCCAUCUUGUUGAUACCCUUGUGAUGGCCAAUCUUGGUUAUUGGCAAAUGAAAGUCUCUCCUGGUGUUUGGUUCUUGCAACUUGCUCCUGGUAGGAGUUCUGAGCUCUAUAUUUUAAAGGAGGAUGAUGAUGGAAGUCAGAAUAAACAAUCAUCAAAACUCAUCACUAUUAAUAGUUUACGGGGUAAAGUAGUUCAUAUGGAAGUAGUGAAAAGAAAGGGCAAGGAACAUGAGAAAUUGCUGAUUCCUGAUGAUGGUGAAAAUGUGCAAGAUCAGAAGAGAGGAAGUACCUGGAAUUCCAACUUACUAAAGUGGGCGUCUGGUUUCAUUGGUAACAAUGAACAAUCUAAAAAAGCUGAAAGCAAUUCACCUGAGAAAGCAAGGGGGGGAUGCCAUGGAAAAACAAUUAAUAUCUUUUCAAUUGCUUCGGGUCAUCUAUAUGAACGCUUUUUGAAGAUUAUGAUUCUAAGUGUUCUAAAGAAUACUCCUCGUCCAGUGAAAUUCUGGUUCAUAAAGAACUACCUUUCUCCUCGUUUUAAGGAUCUGAUUCCCCGCAUGGCCCAAGAGUAUGGUUUUGAAUAUGAACUAAUCACAUACAAAUGGCCUACUUGGUUGCACAAGCAGAAAGAAAAGCAGCGAAUAAUUUGGGCGUAUAAAAUUUUAUUCCUGGAUGUCAUCUUUCCCCUUUCCCUGGAGAAGGUCAUUUUUGUAGAUGCUGAUCAGGUUGUCAGGGCUGACAUGGGAGAACUAUAUGACAUGGAUUUAAAAGGAAAACCUCUGGCAUAUACUCCAUUUUGUGACAACAAUAAGGAGAUGGAUGGAUACCGGUUUUGGAGACAAGGUUUCUGGAAGGAUCAUUUGCGGGGAAAACCAUAUCAUAUUAGUGCUUUGUAUGUUGUUGAUCUGAAGAAGUUCUGAGAGACUGCAGCUGGAGAUAAUCUCAGAGUUUUCUAUGAAACCCUUAGCAAGGAUCCAAAUAGUCUAUCCAACUUGGAUCAGGAUCUUCCUAAUUAUGCUCAGCAUAAUGUGCCCAUUUUUUCCUUGCCACAAGAAUGGCUAUGGUGUGAGUCAUGGUGUGGUAAUACUACAAAAUCCAAGGCAAAAACAAUUGAUCUCUGCAACAAUCCCAUGACAAAAGAACCCAAACUUCAGGGUGCUAGACGAAUAGUAUCUGAGUGGCCAGACCUUGAUUCGGAGGCAAGUAGUUUCACUGCACGAAUCUUGGGUGAUGAUCAAGAACCAACACAAUCACCUGACCAGUCUAAGGAUUUGACAAGUGAAGAUUCAUUGAAAGAAGACUUGGAAUCCAAAGCCGAGUUGUGAAACAGACAGAAGUGUUCUGAAAGGAUCUGUUGAUGCAGUUGGCAGUGGCACCACAUUAGCAUAAUGGUACAUUUAUUACCAAGGAGGGCCUGGCUGAUAUCUUGGCAUGCCGCCAAACACAAUAACAACAGUUAAACGCAUUGAAGAUUUGCCUUCUCUGUUGCCAUUUCCAAACGCAUUGAAGAUUUGCCUUCUCUGUUGCCAUUUCCAGGUUCAAAAAGAAUAUUUUGGUUAGAGUGAAAUGUUAGUAUAUUCUGAUAUUGACUUACGCCCAUUUCAGACUGGUAUCCAUGCCAUCUAAUCUCAUGAAUCUGAUACCUCGGCCCACCUACGCCCAUUUUUGUUCUUUCAAGGAAUAUCCGAAUACAAUAGCGAGGAAUACUGGAGUUUAGCAAUGCCAAAUAUAUAUAUGAGUGAUAGUGUAAUUUUAUUUCAUAUUAAGCUGAAAAAAGAGUUGAUCUAAACAUGCUAUAAGGAGGAAAGACUCCUUUGUUUGA